rnacentral:rRNA from 1 species
AUUCCAGCUCCAAUAGCGUAUGUUAAAGUUGUUGCGGCUAAAAAGCUCGUAGUUGGAUUUCUGUUGAGGACGGCUGGUCCGCUCUAUGAGCGUGCAUCUAGUUUGGCCUCGGCAUCCGCUCUGCAUACGUUCUGCGCUUGAUUGCGUGGUUCGGAGGUAGGGCCUUUUACUUUGAGGAAAUUAGAGUGUUCACGGCAGGCAAUCGCCUUGAAUAUAUUAGCAUGGAAUAAUAACAUAGGAUCUUGGUUCUAUUUUGUUGGUUUCUAGGGCUAAGAUAAUGAUUAAUAGGGACAAUUGGGGGCAUUCGUAUCGCGGUGUCAGAGGUGGAAUUCUUGGAUUACUGCGCGACGAACUACUGCGAAAGCAUUUGCCAAGGAUGUUUUCAUCA